UUAGCUGGGCGUGGUGGCACACACCUGUAAUCCCAGCUACUCAGGAGGUUGAGGCAAGAGAAUUGCGUAAACCUGGGAAGCAGAGAUUGAGGUGAGCCAAGAUCAGGCCACUGCACUCCAGCCUGGGUGACAGAGCAAGACUCUGUCUCAAAAAAAAGAAAGAAAGAGCUGAUCAUAGGGCACCCUCAGUCCAAACUGCUCCGGGUGGCUUUAUCCUCAAAGCAGUCAAGCUUCUGAGAUGACAAAGACCCUUCGACAGGCCAGUCAAUGUCCUUGGCUGCAGCUCUUCCCAGGCUCUCUUGAUUGGCAGCUUGUGAAGCAGAUGCCAAGCCUCGUUCAUGACGUUUCUCAGCAUCUAACACAGUGCCUGGUGCACGGAAGAUGAAUUUAACUGGCAAUGCAAAUGGUGUGCGUGAGCAGCACCCACAAGAACCUCUCUCCACAAAUAUCCAACAUCUAGAAAGCCUGAGGUUCCAACCCUGGUUCAUUCUUUGAAGAGGACUGGCUAUAUCAUUUGCAAAAUCCGGGGCAAAGUGAAAAUGCAGGUCCCACCCGGCACAGUGGCUCACGCCUGUUAUCCCAGCACUUUGGGAGGCUGAGGCGGGUGGAUAACGAGGUCAAGAGAUCAAGACCAUCCAGACCAACACAGUAAAAUCCCAUCUCUACUAAAAAUACAAAAAUUAGCUGGGUGUGGUGGCGUGCACCUGUAGUCCCAGCUACUCCGGAGGCUGAGGGAGGAGAAUCUCUUAAAACCAGGAGGCAGAGGCUGCAGUGAGCCGAGAUCGCACCACUGCACUCCAGCCUGGCAACAGCGAAACUGAAACUCCGUCUCAAAAAGAAAAGAAAAGAAAAUGCAGGUCCCUUGUGAAAAGGUGAAAAAUUUUAAAACAGUGACAACAGAGGAUUAAACCCAGCAUGGGGUGCCCUUCGGGGUGGGAAAAGGCGGGGGCCCUGUACAACCUCACAGGUCACAUGCCUCUGGAGCAGCCUGCCUUUAGGUCUCCUAUUAAAAUACUGCCCCUGCCCCCAUCUAGGGCACUCCCUGCAAUGUGGUUACACUCAGCUAAAGAGCAACAUUUCUCUUGUUAGGAAAAAGCUUCUGGAAAUCCUGGAAUCAGUGGGCAAAGCCUUGGCCAUUCUUCUAGACAAGUCAGCAAAGCUCUGAUUAAAAACAAAAAGAUCCCUAAGUAAAUUCUCCUUCAAGGUGAAUCUUUAAGUCACAAGCUUCUCGGCCUCCCAAGCUUUCCCUUUGUCCUGUUAAUCAGGCUUUUCUUUCUGUGACUGUUAUUUGUUUAAAGACAAGGUCUUGCUCUGUCAUCCAGGCUAGAGCAGUGGUUCCAUCAGGGCUCACUGCAGCCUCCAUCUCCCAGGCUGAAGCAGUCCUUCCACCUCAGCCUUGUGACCAUUUAUUAUUGAGCACCCACUACGUGCAUUGUAGUGGGGAGCACAGACAAUAAAUAAGGAGAUAAAUAUGCAGUAAAAUGUGAGAUGGUGCUAUGUGCUAGGUAGCAAAAAAAAAAAAAGGCAGGUAAGGAACUAGAAAGUGGGGGGAGGCACAGUGGUGAAGUGGUUGGGGAAGUCCUCCCUAAGGAGGGACCUCCAGAGCAGACACCUGAAUGAAGGAAGGGCAGGCCACACUGAGGUGGACAGUGUGUUCAGGGCUGAGGGAAGAUCAGGCACAAAGGCUUGGAAGCAGGCAUGUGACUGGCAAAGGCAGUUGGGGGCAGAUAGGGGUAGUGUAGGAGGAGAUGAGAUCAGAUAGGUGGGAAGGAACCAGAGCUGGCAGGAGCUUGUAGGAACCCAGAGCCGAUAGGGGCUUGUAGGAACCCAGAGCUGGCAGGGGCUUGUAGGGACCCAGAGCCAACAGGGGCUUGCAGGAACCCAGAGCCGGUAGGGGCUUGUAGGAACCCAGAGCCUGCAGGGGCUCGUAGGCUUGGAGGAGCUUGGAUCUGACACCAAUUGCCAGAGAGCAAGAGAUCCUUAGCAUGAUUGACAGCAGGCAGUCACUUCCCCUCCCAGAGGUGAUGCUCAAACUGUCUCUUUUCCUUGGCACACUGACUUGUGUUUUAGCAGUGCCUCCUGAGAGCCAGGAAGAUGCAGGGGACACAGGAAAUAAGAGGGUACUGGGUUCAAAGCUGUCUUCUGCUGUGACUGCUUUGGAACUUGGUCCAUUGCUUAUACUCUCUGAAUCUUAGACUCUUGUGCCCUGCAACUUUGUCAGGAGGGCUCAGGGACAUGACAUACCUUGUAGGUAGCCUGGCACACAGCAGGCACUCAGGCAGCAUUAGCCACAGCAAUCACCCCUUUUCCCUUCUCUAGAGGGCUCACUGUUGGGUGAAUCCCAGCAUCACUAGAGUUCCAGGUCUCCUCCCUCUUGGGGAACAAGUGUUUUGUCAUAGGCAUUGUCUUCACAUUUCCUUCCUGGAGUUCGAGGAAGGAAAGAGACUUAAGGUUUGUUCAGUGCCAGCCCCCUGCCCGACACCUGCUACACACGGGUCCACAUCAUCCCCAGCAAGCCCAGGGAGUGGACACAAUCAUCCUAUUUUGUGGGCGAGGAAGCUGAGGCUCAGAGGAACUAAGGGAUGUAUGCCACAGCUCAUAGGUGGCAGUGCCAGCGUUCCAAUCCAGGCAGGGCUGCAAUCAGUCUGCAAUCAGCCAGAGGCCAGCUGACCUUAGAAACCUAAGGGUCAGUGCGUAUACCCUGGGCCCCAAUGCUGGGGUCUGAAUCCUGCCUGUGCUUCUUCUAGAAAAGUUACUAGGACAAGCGUCCAACAUGCCUGUUUCCCCAUCUGUAAAAGGAAAAGAAUAACAGUCCCUGUCUUACAUAGUGGUUGUGGGAAUGAAAUAAGAUUACUCAUACAUGUACCUAGAACAGUCCCCAGCACACAGUAAUUGCUCAAAUAACCUUAACUAUCAUAUUAUCCGAAAGUUGUGACCCGGCGUUUUCUUAGUAAUGCUUUCUGAAUCAGACCCUCCAAGCCUACCUUUCCUUAGGCUACCCAGAGGCAAGGAGCUGGGUGCCCCAUCUGUGGCAGAUUGUCCUUUCACGGAGGAGCAUGGCAGCACAUCUCCCUCUCAUGCUCUUCUACACUCUGCAUUCCCCCUUCAAGAGGUGGAGUCUUAUUUCCCUCCUUCUUGGACCUGGGGCCCAAAGUCAUGUUCCAUUCUGAUCAUGGAUUGGAAAAGGCCAUUCAGCUUCCACUUGCUUCUUUUGGGAUCCUUGCUCUGGGGAAGUCAGCUGCCUCCUAAGAAGUCCAAGAGCCCUGGGACUGUCAUCAUGGAGACCAGGAACAGAAGCCAGAUGUGCCAGCAUGGCAGUGAAGUCACAUUGGACCCUCUAGACCAGCCCACCCACAGUUGAUGCCACGGACAGUGGAAGAAUUUUCCAGCGAAGCCCUGCUCACAUCUCCCAACAGAGGGGGAGCACACAAGGUCAGCUGAGGUCAGCGACCAGGCAGGCUCAGGGGCUCCAAGACACUCACACAGGGUCUGACCUGAACAGAAGGGAAGGUCCAUUUAGGGUUGACUCUGGGGAUGCACCCAGACUGCUGCUUCCCACAGGGCUCCUGCGAGGGGGUUGGGGGUAGGUUGUUCACCACAGACUCACUUAUUAGGAGGCCAGGGACUGGCAGCUCCCUGCCCUGGGAGAAGCAGAUGAGGAGAAUGACUUAGCCUGGUGCUCUCCACACAGCCUGUAGAGUGGCCUCUGCCAGUCACUGUUGCCCCAAAUUGCAGACCUAAGCCCCGCCUCUCCUUCUCCUUAGUGCAGUGGAUGAAUGGGUGGGGUAGACUGCUGCAAGAGUCUCAAGGAGAGAUGCCCUGCGUGCUGCCGGGAGGGGUAUGGGCCUGCAGGUUUUUCUAGCGCUUUCCUCCAGCCGCUGGGAUGGUGUCAAAGCACUUGGAGGGAGGGGACCCUUCCGGGGAUCCAGAGACUUGCCCUUGUCUGUGCUGCUAAUUGGGGAGCGAGGUUUUUCCGACGAGGGGCUGUAAUUAGUUCAGCAUCCACGCCCUGGUCUCUCACUCCUCCUGAUGUCACCAUUUGCUCCCACAAAGAAGGGCCUCCCCUGGCGUCAGCCUGUGUUAGUUAAGCAUUCUCUCAGCUGGGGAGCAUGAAGCGCUGCCCCGUGCCAGGCCCUUCCCUGGUCCUGGAGGUGCCAAGAUGAACAGGGCCUGGCUGGGAGGGUAACUAGAGCCAGCUCCCCAUGGCUUCCAGACCACUGUGCGCCUCUUUCCAGCUCCAUGUUCCGUGACAUCUUGUGGGUAACCUGACACUGGCCACGGCGGGGUAUCCACCCCUGAGAGACGGGCAGACGCUGCAAGUCAGGCUUCUCCUGGCCUCCUCAGAACCAGCUCAGCCCAGGGCAAGGCUCCUUUCCUCAAAGAGCUCUGAAUCUCUAUGGGAGACACCGUGUCACCUCUGCACAGCCCACGUCAGGUCCUCAGUGCUGGGAACAAGAUGGGCCGUGUUUGCAGAGGAGUUGGGUUACCACAGACCCAGGGAUCUAUGCUUCUUUCCCACACAGUCCCAGUUGAAAUUCGAAAAUCGGGCAGGGAGCACCAAGGCUACACCCAGUGAGACGGCAGUCCCAGCAUGUGGCUGUUUAAAUUAAAAUUAACUGGCAUUGAGUGAGA